rnacentral:misc_RNA from 1 species
UCCUGGUUAACCCAGGCAGUCUCAUUAGAGUCCCCACCUUACGUGUUGGCAACUAAUGAUAAGGGUUGCGCUCGUUGCGGGACUUAACCCAACACCUCACGACACGAGCUGACGACAGCCAUGCAGCACCUGUGCAAGUUGUGUCUUUCGACACUCACGGGCUUUCACCCGCUUAGAAAUGCAUGUCAAGGCCUGGUAAGGUUCUUCGCGUUGCAUCGAAUUAAGCCACAUACUCCACCGCUUGUGCGGGCCCCCGUCAAUUUCUUUGAGUUUUAAUCUUGCGACCGUACUCCCCAGGCGGGGCACUUAAUGCGUUAGCUUCGGCACGGAGGGAGUCGACACCCCCCACACCUAGUGCCCAUCGUUUACAGCGUGGACUAC